rfam:Tupaia chinensis contig59756, whole genome shotgun sequence.
GUAGGCUAUGGUGAUAUGCACCCAGUGACCAUAGGGGGCAAGAUUGUGGGAUCUCUCUGUGCCAUCGCCGGUGUCCUGACCAUUGCUUUGCCAGUUCCUGUGAUUGUUUCCAAC